rnacentral:piRNA from 1 species
UAAUCACUAAAAAGGUCUCACCCCAAAGA